GUGUGUGUAGCUCAGUGGUGGAGCGCUGUGCUCCAUGCACGAAGGGCAUGGGUUCGAUUCCCUUCGCAUACU